AAUAGAUGACGCCGUUGAUUUUUUCUCACAUGUUUGACUAUUCGUCUUAUUCAAAAAAUUUAUGUAAUUAUAAUUUAUUUUGUUAUGAGUUGUUUUAUCACUCAUAGUACUUUAAAUGUUUAUACAUUUGGCAUAAAAUUUUUAAAUAAGACGAAUGGUCAAACAUGUGAGAAAAAGUCAACGGCGUCAUCUAUU
rnacentral:pre_miRNA from 1 species